rnacentral:lncRNA from 1 species
AUUACCUUGAAUGAAUUUUCAAUUAAAAAAUCCAUGAAACUCUUAAGAUUCAGUGUAGAAUAACUGGUUUUUGACACCUCAGACAGAAAAGUCGUCCUUACAAUAUAACAUGUGCUGUUUAUAUUUAUCUGUUUAUUUUUAUCUAUAUUUAGCCCUCGAUCGCUAGCCAAUCACCAAUCCGUGAAGGGCAUGUCAUGGGUAUAUUUU